rnacentral:rRNA from 1 species
GAGUUUGAUCCUGGCUCAGAUUGAACGCUGGCGGCAGGCCUAACACAUGCAAGUCGAGCGCGAAAAGUUCUUCGGAACUGAGUAGAGCGGCGGACGGGUGAGUAACGCGUAGGAAUCUGUCCGGUAGUGGGGGAUAACGUUCCGAAAGGAACGCUAAUACCGCAUACGCCCCACGGGGGAAAGAGGGGGACUCGCAAGAGCCUCUCGCUAUCGGAGGAGCCUGCGUCGGAUUAGCUAGUUGGUAGGGUAAAGGCCUACCAAGGCGACGAUCCGUAGCUGGUCUGAGAGGAUGAUCAGCCACACCGGAACUGAGACACGGUCCGGACUCCUACGGGAGGCAGCAGUGGGGAAUAUUGCGCAAUGGGGGCAACCCUGACGCAGCCAUGCCGCGUGUGUGAAGAAGGCCUUCGGUU